rnacentral:rRNA from 1 species
CCUACGGGGGGCUGCAGUGGGGAAUUUUGGACAAUGGGGGAAACCCUGAUCCAGCCAUCCCGCGUGUGCGAUGAAGGCCUUCGGGUUGUAAAGCACUUUUGUCAGGGAAGAAAAGGUUCUGGCUAAUAUCCGGAACUGAUGACGGUACCUGAAGAAUAAGCACCGGCUAACUACGUGCCAGCAGCCGCGGUAAUACGUAGGGUGCAAGCGUUAAUCGGAAUUACUGGGCGUAAAGCGUGCGCAGGCGGUUCGGAAAGAAGGAUGUGAAAUCCCAGGGCUCAACCUUGGAACUGCAUUCUUAACUACCGGACUAGAGUAUGUCAGAGGGGGGUAGAAUUCCGCGUGUAGCAGUGAAAUGCGUAGAUAUGCGGAGGAAUACCGAUGGCGAAGGCAGCCCCCUGGGAUAAUACUGACGCUCAUGCACGAAAGCGUGGGUAGCAAACAGGAUUAGAUACCCCAGUAGUC